AUUGAACGCUGGCGGCAGGCCUAACACAUGCAAGUCGAACGCGUGGCGGACGGGUGAGUAAUGUCUGGGAAACUGCCUGAUGGAGGGGGAUAACUACUGGACACGGUAGCUAAUACCGCAUACCAUCAGAUGUUCCCAGAUGGGAUUAGCUUGGUGGUGGGGUAACGGCUCACCAAGGCGACGAUCCCUAGCUGGUCGGAGAGGAUGACCAGCAACACUGGAACUGAGACACGGUCCAGACGCCUACGGGAGGCAGCAGUGGGGAAUAUUGCACAAUGGGCGCAAGCCUGAUGCAGCCAGGCCGCGUGUAUGAAGAAGGCCUGCGGGUUGUAAAGUACUUUCAGCGGGGAGGCGUUACCCGCAGAAGAAGCACCGGCUAACUCCGUGCCAGCAGUCGCGGUAAUUC
rnacentral:rRNA from 1 species